rnacentral:rRNA from 1 species
UAAAAAAUUAUUAUUUUUUAAUUAAUUUUAAUUAAUUUAAAAAAAAAAAUUUAAUUUUAGUAUAAAUUAGAAAAAAUUUUUUUUAUUAUAGUUUAUAAGUAUUGUGAAAGAAAUAUUAAAUUAAUUUUUAAGAAAAUUUUUAUUUUGUACCUUGUGUAUCAGGGUUAAUUAAAUAGAAAAAAAAUUUUAUUUUCUCGAAUUUAAAAGAGCUAAGAUAAUAAAUAUUUUAUUGUAGAAUAAAUAUUUAAAAUAUUAUUUUAGUAAUGAAACGUUAUUCGUUUUUAAUAUAUCUAGUUAUUUUAGAAAAAAAUUUAAUUUUUUUGUUAAGAAUAUAAAAUUUAAUUUUUAAUUUUAUAUUAUUAAUAGUUAAUUUAUAAUGGGAUAAGCUUUUAUAAAAAUAUUUAAAAAUUAAUAAUAAAUAGAAAUAUAUAUAGGAUUAGAAGUUUUUAUUAUUAAGAUAAUGUUAUAAUUAAUUUUUUAAGAAAGAUUAUUUAUAUUAAUUUUAAAUAUUUUAUAAAAUUUUAAAUUUUAAUUAAUAAAAUUUAGUAAUAAUGAUUAAAUUAGUAGGAGAAAUUGUAUAAUAAAUAUAAUUUUAAGGUUAAAUAAAGGAAUUCGGCAAAAAAUUUUCCACCUGUUUAUUAAAAACAUGGCUUUUUGAUAAUAAUUUAAAGUCUGGCCUGCCCACUGAGUAUUUAAAGGGCCGCGGUAAUUUGACCGUGCUAAGGUAGCAUAAUCAUUAGUUUUUUAAUUGAAAGCUGGUAUGAAUGGUCGGAUGAGAAAAUAGCUGUCUCUAUUUAAUUUUUUUUGAAUUUUAUUUUUAAGUAAAAAAGCUUAAAUUAGAUUAAAAGACGAGAAGACCCUAUAGAGUUUUAUAAAAUUUUAAAUUUAAAUUUUUAGGAUUAUAACUUUGCAUUUAAAAUUUUAUUUGAUUGGGGCGAUUGAAAAAUUUAAUUAACUUUUUUUAUAUAAGAACAUUAAUUUAUGAAUUUUUGAUCCAUCAAUGUAUGAUUAUAAGAUUAAAUUACCUUAGGGAUAACAGCGUAAUUUUUUUUGAGAGUUCAAAUCGAAAAAAAAGUUUGCGACCUCGAUGUUGGAUUAAAAUUAAUUUUUGGUGUAGAGGCUAAAAAAUUAGGUCUGUUCGACCUUUAAAAUUUUACAUGAUCUGAGUUUAAACCGGUGUGAGCCAGGUUGGUUUCUAUCUUUAAUUAGUUAAUAUAUUUUAGUACGAAAGGACCAAAUAUAUAAUAGAUUAUUUAAAAUUGAAUUUUAUU